GACUCUCUGCCCUGCAGGUGAGGUCAGAACGUCCACGCGGAAUAUUUUGUCAUUCGGGAAUCCUUCAACGACCCUGUGAGCCAGCCCACCCCGGAGUGGGACGCCUGAUGAGUCGACAGGGGCUCCCACCUAUCUGGUACUCGUAGUGAGGCCCAAGAUCCACGGCCGCGGUGGAGAGUCG
rnacentral:other from 1 species